GAUGAACGCUGGCGGCGUGCCUAAUACAUGCAAGUCGAGCGAACAGACGAGGAGCUUGCUCCUCUGACGUUAGCGGCGGAAGGGUGAGUAACACGUGGAUAACCUACAUAUAAGACUGGGAUAACUUCGGGAAACCGGAGCUAAUACCGGAUAAUAUAUUUAACCGCAUGGUUCAAUAGUGAAAGACGGUUUUGCUGUCACUUAUAGAUGGAUCCGCGCCGCAUUAGCUAGUUGGUAAGGUAACGGCUUACCAAGGCAACGAUGCGUAGCCGACCUGAGAGGGUGAUCGGCCACACUGGAACUGAGACACGGUCCAGACUCCUAAGGGAGGCAGCAGUAGGGAAUCUUCCGCAAUGGGCGAAAGCCUGACGGAGCAACGCCGCGUGAGUGAUGAAGGUCUUCGGAUCGUAAAACUCUGUUAUUAGGGAAGAACAAAUGUGUAAGUAACUAUGCACGUCUUGACGGUACCUAAUCAGAAAGCCACGGCUAACUACGUG
rnacentral:rRNA from 1 species